GGGGCGUUAGCUCAGUUGGGAGAGCAAUUGCCUUACAAGCAAUAGGUCAUAGGUUCGAGCCCUAUACGCCCCACCA
rnacentral:tRNA from 1 species